UACGGAGGGUGCGAGCGUUAUCCGGAUUUACUGGGUUUAAAGGGUGUGCAGGCGGAUUAUUAAGUCAGUGGUGAAAUCCCGGGGCUCAACCCCGGAACUGCCAUUGAUACUAUUAGUCUUGAAUACUGUGGAGGUGAGCGGAAUGUGUCAUGUAGCGGUGAAAUGCUUAGAGAUGACACAGAACACCGAUUGCGAAGGCAGCUCACUACGCAGUUAUUGACGCUGAGGCACGAAAGCGUGGGGAGCAAACAGG
rnacentral:rRNA from 1 species